rnacentral:rRNA from 1 species
ACUCAAAUGAAUUGACGGGGGCCCGCACAAGCGGUGGAGCAUGUGGUUUAAUUCGACGCAACGCGCAGAACCUUACCAGCCCUUGACAUGUCCCGUUUGAGAACCAGAGAUGGAUCUCUUCAUUUAGUUGGCGGGAACACAGGUGCUGCAUGGCUGUCGUCAGCUCGUGUCGUGAGAUGUUGGGUUAAGUCCCGCAACGAGCGCAACCCUCGCCUUCAGUUGCCAUCAUUUAGUUGGGCACUCUGGAGGGACUGCCGGUGACAAGCCGGAGGAAGGUGGGGAUGACGUCAAGUCCUCAUGGCCCUUACGGGCUGGGCUACACACGUGCUACAAUGGUGGUGACAGUGGGCUGCGACGGGGUGACCCUGAGCAAAUCCCAAAAAGCCAUCUCAGUUCGGAUUGCACUCUGCAACUCGGGUGCAUGAAGUUGGAAUCGCUAGUAAUCGCGCAACAGCAUGGCGCGGUGAAUACGUUCCCGGGCCUUGUACACACCGCCCGU